CCAAACCUGGACAACACGAUGCCGAUAGUGCGCCGCACAUAUGGGAUUCACAAUCACAGCCAGUUGUGAUACAGCCGGGAAUCGAACCAGGUGUGUCUGUAGUGAUGCCUCUUGCACUGAGAUGCAGUGCCUUAUACUGCUGCGCUACUCGGGAGCAGAAUGUACAUUCAGAAGUAAUGACUGGAACUUAAGUGGUAUUGUGUUUCAUUUCCAGUCACUUCAUGUCUGAUGGAGCCGUGAACAAUAUAUAAUGUAACUCUUACCAAACCCUUUCCAUGAUUUUGAAGAUAGCUUCUUCCUCUGGGCCAUUUUGUGAAUCAUCUAUUUUAAUGUUCUCUACCAAAUCCCCCAUGGCUAAUAUGAAUCUUUACUAAACACUCUCUGAUACUGUCAGGUUGUGCGGUACUGGUGUAGGAGUCAGGUGCAGGAGAGCAGAGAGUUGUGAUCUACUGGUGUAGGAGUCCGUUGCAGGAGAGCAGAGAGUUGUGAUCUACUGGUGUAGGAGUCCGGUGCAGGAGAGCAGAGAGUUGUG
ensembl:lncRNA